rnacentral:rRNA from 1 species
CCUACGGGAGGCUGCAGUGGGGAAUAUUGCACAAUGGGGGAAACCCUGAUGCAGCGACGCCGCGUGAGUGAAGAAGUAUUUCGGUAUGUACAGCCCUAUCUGCAGGGAAGCAAAAAGACGGUCGCUGACUAAGAAGCCCCGGCCAACUACGUGACAGCAGCCGCGGUACUACGUCGGGGGCAAGCGUUAUCCGGAUUUACUGGGGGUAAAGGGAGGGUAGUCGGUAUGGCUAGUCUGAAGUGAAAACCGAGGGCUUAACCCUGGUAUUGCUGUUGAAACUGUUAGUCUAGAGUGCAGGAGAGGUAAGUGGAAUGCCUAGUGUAGCGGUGAAAUGCAUAGAUAUCAGGAAGAACACCAGUUGCGAAGGCAGCUUACUGGACAGUGACUGACGUUGAGGCACGAAAGCGUGGGGAGCGAACAGGAUUAGAUACCCGUGUAGUC